rnacentral:rRNA from 1 species
CCUACGGGAGGCAGCAGUGGGGAAUAUUGGACAAUGGGCGAAACCCUGAACCAGCGACGCCGCGUGAGGGAAGAAGUACUUCGGUACGUAAAGCUCUUUCAGCAGGAAAGAAAAUGACGGUACCUGACUAAGAAGCCCCGGGUAACUACGUGCCAGCAGCCGCGGGAAUACGUAGGGGGCCAGCGGUAUCCGGAUUUACUGGGGUGAAAGGGGGCGUAGAGGGCAGCACAAGGCUGGAGUGAAAUGGCGGGGGCCAACCGCGGAACUGCUCUGGAAACGGUGAAGCUGGAGUGCAGGAGAGGGAAGCGGAAUUCGUGGGGUAGCGGUGAAAUGAGUAGAGAUCAGGAGGAACACCGGCGGCGAAGGCGGCUUACUGGACUGUAACUGACGUUGAGGCUCGAAGGGGUGGGGAGCAAACAGGAUUAGAUACCCCUGUAGUC